GACCUGGUGGUGCAUGGUGCAUACCCACUUGAUGUCCAUACCAUACCAAAGAUGAUCUGUUAGUGGGAGGUCCCCGUUCAAUUCGGGGCCAGGUCA